rnacentral:rRNA from 1 species
GGAAUUUUGGACAAUGGGCGAAAGCCUGAUCCAGCAAUGCCGCGUGAGUGAAGAAGGCCUUCGGGUUGUAAAGCUCUUUUGUCAGGGAAGAAACGGUGAGAGCUAAUAUCUCUUGCUAAUGACGGUACCUGAAGAAUAAGCACCGGCUAACUACGUGCCAGCAGCCGCGGUAAUACGUAGGGUGCAAGCGUUAAUCGGAAUUACUGGGCGUAAAGCGUGCGCAGGCGGUUUUGUAAGUCUGAUGUGAAAUCCCCGGGCUCAACCUGGGAAUUGCAUUGGAGACUGCAAGGCUAGAAUCUGGCAGAGGGGGGUAGAAUUCCACGUGUAGCAGUGAAAUGCGUAGAUAUGUGGAGGAACACCGAUGGCGAAGGCAGCCCCCUGGGUCAAGAUUGACGCUCAUGCACGAAAGCGUGGGGAGCAAACAGGAUUAGAUACCCGAG